rnacentral:rRNA from 1 species
AUUGAACGCUGGCGGCAUGCUUUACACAUGCAAGUCGAACGGUAGAGGGGGCAACCCCUCGAGAGUGGCGAACGGGUGAGUAAUAUAUCGGAACGUGCCCAGUCGUGGGGGAUAACGUAGCGAAAGUUACGCUAAUACCGCAUACGAUCUAAGGAUGAAAGCGGGGGAUCGCAAGACCUCGCGCGAUUGGAGCGGCCGAUAUCAGAUUAGGUAGUUGGUGGGGUAAAGGCCCACCAAGCAAACGAUCUGUAGCUGGUCUGAGAGGACGACCAGCCACACUGGAACUGAGACACGGUCCAGACUCCUACGGGAGGCAGCAGUGGGGAAUUUUGGACAAUGGGCGAAAGCCUGAUCCAGCCAUUCCGCGUGCAGGAUGAAGGCCCUCGGGUUGUAAACUGCUUUUGUACAGAACGAAAAGGUUUCUACUAAUACUAGGAGCUCAUGACGGUACUGUAAGAAUAAGCACCGGCUAACUACGUGCCAGCCGCCGCGGUAA